rnacentral:misc_RNA from 1 species
CUAAGGAGCAACUAACAUUUUGCGUCCUCGCCACUGUGUGGGGAAUCGUGGGUGUUCAGUGCUGCUCGUUUCCAUCACUUGUGUUGAUGGGCGAGUGCUCAAGGGUGGAAUAUCAACAAAUUAUGGCUGUCCAUCAUUGAUGGGUGGUCUUCUAGUACGUGCUGUGUCGGAUCUUUGGUUCGGUGUGGUUCUGGAAACGGGGAUCGCUUGUGGGUGGGGAUGGUUUUUUGGCACACUGUUGGGUCCUGAAAUAACAGGCGCCCGUAUCUUUGGUGUUUCGCACGUAUGUGUGGGAUGUCCGCAGGUGGGGUUCUUGUUUUUCAGUGGUUGUCCCGCGCAUGGCCUAAGUCAGCAUGUGCAUGCAUCCUUUGGGUGUGUGGUGUUGGUGGUGGGUGUGAUGGGGUUGUUGUUUGGGAACUGUAUAGUGGACGCGAGCAUCUUGUAAGACAAGGAUUUUGUUCUUGUUUUGCAUAGCAAUUUCUUAUGAAUUAUUGAACCUGGUGGACGCACUCCCUUGUGGGGUGUGUUUUUCUUGGUUCUUUCGAUUGUAAUUAUUAAGCUCAUGUAAAAGUUUUGAUCAUGUUUGUG